rnacentral:rRNA from 1 species
AGGUAAGCUACUAAGAGCGAAUGGUGGAUGCCUUGACUGGUAAAGGCGAUGAAGGACGUACUAGACUGCGAUAAGCUACGGGGAGCUGUCAAGAAGCUUUGAUCCGUAGAUUUCCGAAUGGGGCAACCCAAUGUAUAGAGAUAUACAUUACCUAUAUAGGAGCGAACGAGGGGAAUUGAAACAUCUUAGUACCCUCAGGAAAAGAAAUCAAUAGAGAUUGCGUCAGUAGCGGCGAGCGAAAGCGCAAGAGGGCAAACCCAGUGCUUGCACUGGGGGUUGUAGGACUGCAAUGUGCAAGAGGUAAGUUUAGCAGAACAUUCUGGAAAGUAUAACCAUAGAGGGUGAUAGUCCCGUAUGCGAAAAACAAACCUUAGCUAGCAGUAUCCUGAGUAGGGCGGGACACGAGGAAUCCUGUCUGAAUCCGGGUCGACCACGAUCCAACCCUAAAUACUAAUACCAGAUCGAUAGUGCACAAGUACCGUGAGGGAAAGGUGAAAAGAACUGAGGUGAUCAGAGUGAAAUAGAACCUGAAACCAUUUGCUUACAAUCAUUCAGAGCCCUAUGUAGCAAUACAGGGUGAUGGACUGCCUUUUGCAUAAUGAGCCUGCGAGUUGUGGUGUCUGGCAAGGUUAAGCAAACGCGAAGCCGUAGCGAAAGCGAGUCUGAAUAGGGCGCUUAGUCAGAUGCUGCAGACCCGAAACGAAGUGAUCUAUCCAUGAGCAAGUUGAAGCUAGUGUAAGAACUAGUGGAGGACUGAACCCAUAGGCGUUGAAAAGCCCCGGGAUGACUUGUGGAUAGGGGUGAAAGGCCAAUCAAACUUCGUGAUAGCUGGUUCUCUCCGAAAUAUAUUUAGGUAUAGCGUUGUGUCGUAAUAUAAGGGGGUAGAGCACUGAAUGGGCUAGGGCAUACACCAAUGUACCAAACCCUAUCAAACUCCGAAUACCUUAUAUGUAAUCACAGCAGUCAGGCGGCGAGUGAUAAAAUCCGUCGUCAAGAGGGAAACAACCCAGACUACCAGCUAAGGUCCCUAAAUCUUACUUAAGUGGAAAACGAUGUGAAGUUACUUAAACAACCAGGAGGUUGGCUUAGAAGCAGCCAUCCUUUAAAGAAAGCGUAAUAGCUCACUGGUCUAGUGAUUUUGCGCGGAAAAUAUAACGGGGCUAAAGUAAGUACCGAAGCUGUAGACUUAGUUUACUAAGUGGUAGGAGAGCGUUCUAUUUGCGUCGAAGGUAUACCGGUAAGGAGUGCUGGAGCGAAUAGAAGUGAGCAUGCAGGCAUGAGUAGCGAUAAUUAAUGUGAGAAUCAUUAACGCCGUAAACCCAAGGUUUCCUACGCGAUGCUCGUCAUCGUAGGGUUAGUCGGGUCCUAAGUCGAGUCCGAAAGGGGUAGACGAUGGCAAAUUGGUUAAUAUUCCAAUACCAACAUUAGUGUGCGAUGGAAGGACGCUUAGGGCUAAGGGGGCUAGCGGAUGGAAGUGCUAGUCUAAGGUCGUAGGAGGUUAUACAGGCAAAUCCGUAUAACAAUACUCCGAGAACUGAAAGGCUUUUUGAAGUCUUCGGAUGGAUAGAAGAACCCCUGAUGCCGUCGAGCCAAGAAAAGUUUCUAAGUUUAGCUAAUGUUGCCCGUACCGUAAACCGACACAGGUGGGUGGGAUGAGUAUUCUAAGGCGCGUGGAAGAACUCUCUUUAAGGAACUCUGCAAAAUAGCACCGUAUCUUCGGUAUAAGGUGUGGUUAGCUUUGUAUUAGGAUUUACUCCGAAAGCAAGGAAACUUACAACAAAGAGUCCCUCCCGACUGUUUACCAAAAACACAGCACUCUGCUAACUCGUAAGAGGAUGUAUAGGGUGUGACGCCUGCCCGGUGCUCGAAGGUUAAUUGAUGGGGUUAGCAUUAGCGAAGCUCUUGAUCGAAGCCCGAGUAAACGGCGGCCGUAACUAUAACGGUCCUAAGGUAGCGAAAUUCCUUGUCGGUUAAAUACCGACCUGCAUGAAUGGCGUAACGAGAUGGG